UGUCUUCCCCGCCGCCUCCUGCUUCCUCUGGGUCACAUGCGGGGCAGCGCCGGGACGGGACGGGCGGCCUCGCCCGCAGCCGCCAUCUCCGAGGGGCACCGCCGCCCCUUCCCCUGGCCGCCUGGCGAGGUACCGUGAUCCAAGGAGGUGGAGUCGUUCACCAGGAAAGUGGCAGGAGGACCCUGAUGAGAGCGGGUUUGUUGUGAUGGAAGCUGGUGGAGGAGGAGGAGAUGAAGACUCCAGCGAGGGCAGGUGUUCCCUGUUCCAGCUCCAGGAGAGAUGUCACCUUGGACGAUGAUGUUCGUGCUGCUGCUGCUGCUGCCCCUGAGUCAGGCCGCCCCCAGGGAUGGAACCACGAGGUAAUGGGACCAAGCGGGCUCUGGGCCGUGGGCUGGGAGCAAGGAGAGUCUCUGGAGAACCCGAGGGUGUGGGGGGCCCCCUGGGAGGCAGGAGACGGGACGUGCGCUGCUCACCUCUGUAUCCCUGCCCACCCACUCAACCUCUCUGCCUUGAGCCUGGUGGAGGGCCCUACACAGAGUGGGCACGUGGUCUGCGUUUGCUGGGCUCAUUGGAGCCAGGAGCUCAGUUCCAAUGAGGCGUGAAGCUCGGGGAAGAAGCUGGGGCCAGGGAAGGGGUGCAGUCCUCUCAUCAAGACUGAGAGAGGGAACGCCGAAGAUUUAGGGGUCAGCAGGUCAUCGCACCUCUCUGAGCACCUCUCUCCUACCGAUGCAGAGGGGGUGCAGAGGGGGUGCUGGUGGGGCGGGGGACAGACAAGGAGCGGCAGGGCCGGCAGCAGUGACCGGUUUGCUGCCGCGGCUUCUGCCAGCUCCCUGGCGUCACAGGUCGGGAUCGGCUCGGGCAGCCAGAUAGCCUCGUCCAAACCUGAGAGCAAAUCUUGAGCUUUAAAGACUGACACAAACAAACAAAAAAGACGGGCGGAGACCCCACGCAGAUUUAAACUCCAAAACCAACAUAGGUGGCCUCAGCUUGGGAAAAUAAAGAAGCCAGUUGCGCCCUGGUGUAAACAGGGCCUGUAUCGAGGUGGGCAGUGCCUCUGAGCUCAGCCAGAGACCUGCCCGUUGGCCCAGCAUCAAAAUAGAAUCACUGCCCCGAUCUACACUGCCCUACCCCUGACUGCGCUGUUUUCUUGGGCCUCCAACUUGUCUGGGCGAGGUGUGGCCUCACCUGGCUCUACCUGGCCAGGUGUUUCAUGGGGUUUCCACUUCCCAUCUAAGGUAGGAAUCUGCAAACACAGUCUGAGAGAGUAAGGCUCUGCUCUGAGGAGCCCGAAGGGCCUC